GUCAAGCUAUCAACUCGUUUUAGUUAAGGUCCUUCUGUGUCUGUUUUAAGAGGACCAUGCAGUUCCCACUACUUACCAGCAGUUGACAAUCUUACUCUUAAUAUUAUAUACUGCCCACUCAAGUUUGAAUGUCCAGUCAAUCUCCAAAAUGGACACCAACCAACGAUGUUACCCAGUCCAUCUAUCUCAAGAUUCUGCCUGCCAGUACACAGACUUGCCCCAUGGGACCAACUUUGAGGACCAGGCUGAGGGAGCCUGCCAGUUUUGAGGGGGUUUGCCAGAUUUGAACUGCCCCUGCCAGUUUCUUCAAAACAAGAGUGAAGAGAUUGAGGACUCAAGAUUAGCUAUAGCUGCCUUCAGAUGAAGAUGUAGAACUCUCAGCUCUGCCUGCCCUAAUGCCUGCCUAGGUGCUGCCCUGUUCCCACCUUGAUGAUGACGGAUUGAGCCUCUGAACUUAUGGCUUUUGGUUAUAUUUGUCAUAGCAAUAGAAAGGAAACCGGAAUAGUGUGAAGGACCAACAAGAGAGGAGCAAAACCACAGUUGUCAAGUGAGACCAGGAUGGGAUCAUUUCAGAAAAGUAUUCCCCAGGUAACUCAUCGACACAGUGCUGUUUAACAAGCUCUGGUAAAAGGUAAUCUGCAGAUGAGGCUGUCCUUUACCAACACUGACUAGAAACAUUGUGUCUCAGACCUGUCCAGACUCUGAGGAUACAAAAGGUAAGGUGAUCAGUCAUUUCACUGAUCCAGUUCCUUCUCUAGCCCCAGCACAUAGAGCUGUUCCCCUGCCCCCCUUACCC